CAGUAGCCGCGGUAAUACGUAGGUCCCGAGCGUUGUCCGGAUUUAUUGGGCGUAAAGCGAGCGCAGGCGGUUAGAUAAGUCUGAAGUUAAGGGCUGUGGCUUAACCAUAGUACGCUUUGGAAACUGUUUAACUUGAGUGCAAGAGGGGAGAGAGGAAUUCCAUGUGUAGCGGUGAAAUGCGUAGAUAUAUGGAGGAACACCGGUGGCGAAAGCGGCUCUCUGGCUUGUAACUGUCGCUGAGGCUCGAAAGCGUGGGGAGCAAACAGGAUUAGAUACCCCCGUAGUCCCUGUCUCUUAUACC
rnacentral:rRNA from 1 species